GCUGCUGAAAAUGAGCUCCAAGUAAUGAAGAGCUCACCCACAGCCAGUGUUGGAGAAGAAGGUAUUCUCAGAUGGUCCAAGCCAUGAGUACAGUGGUGAGUCAGAUUAAAUGUUUCUAGGUCAGCCACAAUGAUAACUGUCUUUUAAAAAAUCGGAAAUCUUUGUGUGAUGUUUUUUCCCUUGAUUUCCCUUAUUUUCUUACAUUUAUCAUCUCACGUGACAAAAACUUCAAGUGCAUGUGUGUGCAUGGAAUCUUAAUUAAGACAAUCUCAUAAUGCUCCUUUUAAUGUUACAGCAAAACGUUCUAUAAUGAAGUACUAAUGACCUUAAUUAUGUAUGUCUACUUUUGCUUCCACAGAUUUAGAAAUAAAACCACAUAUUCCUAAGUAGUCAGAAAACAUCUAUCUAUAAAAGCAAGAAAGUUCUGUAUGCGUGUGUGUGUUUGUGGAGAAAAUAUUUCCCCGACGCGGUGUCUGUUCGACCUGAAACUUUGUCAACGGCUUCCACAUACCCCAAGUGUGUGCAUCCAUUAGUUUGGAGUAAUUUGAUGUUGCAAAAUGUUCAUUUUAAUUUUAAGAUUACGGCUCCCUCUCAGUAUUGAGCGAGGUAUUUCUGGUUACAGUUCAUCGGUUCAUGACGUCACUGUGUCGCAGUUUGUUUGGGUUUAAAAAAGAAGGCCAAUAUUAAAAAUGAAUAUUGAAAACAUUUUUGCACUGCUAAAAGGUAUUUAAGUUAAUAUUUCAUGGUUAUUUAAAAGUAUCCCCAUGAUCCCAAACUUCCUUUCACGGGUCACGGAGUCCACUUCCUCCUCCAUCUCCAUGACUGUGCCAUGCUACCGUCAGCAUCACAAAACUUUCACGGGAGCUCUCUGAAUAGAUCAUUUGAAAUGUCAGCCGCUGUCUGUAUUGAACUCAACCCGUUCAAUACUCCAUCUGGAAAACUGCAGAGAACCUGUGGUGCUGCUCAUGGAAACUAAGCUCUGACCACUCGGUUCUAAGACAGCGGGGGAGCGCACCCCAAGAAGCCCAACCCGAGGACCCAACUGCAAAACACCCCAGCUACAGCACAGCGUCCACGGGGCCCAACGCACCCAGCCAGCAGGCCAGCCACUCCCGACGCGGAUCAACCAGACCAGAGGCCACAGGCCACGACCCCACAGGCCCACCGAGCGUAACCCUAGGGGAGGCUCCGGCACCGGCGAGGCCCCACAGCACCGCCCCCCCGACACUGCGUACCCCACACACCAGUCCACGAAUCCUCCCGACUCGGCCCACCACGCCAGCAACAUCCCCGGCGAAGGUACAACCCAGGGGACAAAGCCAAGUGCCCAGACGAGCCGGCGGAGCAACACAGGACGCAAGCGAUGCCCCUGAGCAAUGGCUACCCCUUUAAAAACCAGUUAAAAUGCUUUAAACUGGCUGGCACUGAGGGGGGUAGAAAUUCUGAAAAUGGCUGGCACUGAAUGAGUUAAUAAGUGAGAUAGGGCGGUAGCUAGAGCAGGAUUUUCCCCAGUGCUUUAUAGGCCUGGCGGGCCUCCAGGCUUUUCUUGCUCCUCCCCACAUGCCCAAAGUGUUUUUUUGAUUGAUUCCCUUAAUCAUUAGUUAGAGGGUGAUUUGCUCCUUUCUCACUGCAGGGCGAGCCCAAACACCUCGCUCAAAUUUGAUGACGUGUUCUCACUUUGAUGACGAAUUUGACGAGGCACUGAGCUGGAGAAGCCGCGCAUCCAGGACGCUCUCUGCCGUGAUUGAUAUGUAAACAGACACGCCCACGAAGAUGAGCAUCUCAGCAUCCUUCGCACAGUGUAUGUAUUUUCUACAGUCUAUGUAUGUACGGGCAAACGCCUAGCGCCCAUGCUCUGUCUUGUGUUUAUAAAGCAGCAUGAGCUCGGCUACGGAGUGGGUGGGAGGAGGGCGGACCCUACGUCACCGUACUGUGAGGAGGAAGUCAGUGUCCCGUCUAUAGACACGCCCACUCAUGAAUAUGCAUAAGUAUCCCGCAAAUUAGCCUGUGUAGAGUUGCACAGAAAGUGACUUUUCAGAGGGCUAAAACAGGCGAUUUUGAGAAAAUACACCUCAAAUACUUUGUUUUUAGAGUUCUAACUGGGGGUUUCCACUGGAUAUGUCUCCACUGCACCAUGGCACCAAUAUGGUUUUUCCCUGCUGUGCACCGUCCUGGAAUGCCCACAGGUUGCAUUUUGAGUGUGCCACGGUGCACUCCGGUUGGACAACCAUCACGUCACGAGACAGAGCAGUUCUCACAAUAUUUAUAUAAUUGUGCGAGAACGCAGUUAAAUGUGUUAUAAACACAACAAUAAACAGGUCAGUGUUCCUAACGAAGGAGUAUAA
rnacentral:lncRNA from 1 species